rnacentral:rRNA from 1 species
UACGGAAGGCAGCAGUGGGGAAUAUUGCACAAUGGGCGAAAGCCUGAUGCAGCUAUGCCGCGUGUAUGAAGAAGGCCUUAGGGUUGUAAAGUACUUUCAUCGGGGAGGAAAAAACAAAACUAAUAAUUUUAUUUCUUGACGUUACCCGAAAAAGAAGCACCGGCUAACUCCGUGCCAGCAGCCGCGGUAAUACGGAGGGUGCUAGCGUUAAUCAGAAUUACUGGGCGUAAAGAGCACGUAGGUGGUUUUUUUAAAGUCAGAUGUGAAAUCCCUGGGCUUUAACCUAGGAACUGCAUUUUGAAACUGAAAUACUAGAGUAUCGUAGAGGGAGGUAGAAUUCUAGGUGUAGCGGUGAAAUGCGUAGAUAUCUGGAGGAAUACCUGUGGUCGGAACGACGGCCGUCCUAACCGAAACGUAACUCGUACGACUCGAGGGU